UGCAGUCGAACGGUAACAGGCCUAUGUGAUCCCUUCGGGGUGAACUUGGUGCUGACGAGUGGCGGACGGGUGAGUAAUGCAUAGGAAUCUGCCCUUUAGCGGGGGAUAACUCGGGGAAACUCGGGCUAAUACCGCAUACGCCCUACGGGGGAAAGCGGGGGCCUUCGGGCCUCGCACUAUUGGAUGAGCCUAUAUCUGAUUAGUUUGUUGGUGGGGUAAUGGCCUACCAAGGCGACGAUCAGUAGCUGGUCUGAGAGGACGAUCAGCCACACUGGGAUUGAGAUACGGCCCAGACUCCUACGGGAGGCAGCAGUGGGGAAUAUUGGACAAUGGGCGAAAGCCUGAUCCAGCAAUGCCGCGUGUGUGAAGAAGGCCCGAGGGUUGUAAAGCACUUUCAACAGUAAAGAAAAGUUCGGUGCUAAUACCACCGAACCCUGACGUUAGCUGUAGAAGAAGCACUGGCUAACUCCGUGCCAGCAGCCGCGGUAAUACGGAGGGUGCGAGCGUUAAUCGGAAUUACUGGGCGUAAAGCGUGCGUAGGUGGUUUGGUAAGUCGGAUGUGAAAGCCCCGAGCUCAACUUGGGAACUGCAUUCGAUACUGCUAGGCUAGAGUAUGGUAGAGGGAAGUGGAAUUUCCGGUGUAGCGGUGAAAUGCGUAGAGAUCGGAAGGAACACUAGUGGCGAAGGCGGCUUCCUGGACCAAUACUGACACUGAGGUACGAAAGCGUGGGGAGCAAACAGGAUUAGAUACCCUGGUAGUCCACGCCCUAAACGAUGUCAACUAGCCGUUGGGGAAAUUCAAUUCCUUAGUGGCGCAGCUAACGCAUUAAGUUGACCGCC
rnacentral:rRNA from 1 species